ensembl:ncRNA lncRNA:CR46449 long non-coding RNA:CR46449
CCCAAAAUGUAUAAAAAAAAAAGAAAAUAAUACAUAUAGAAAGACGAACCCGCCAAAGAAUAAAGCAGAAGGAGCUAAAAGGAGCAGGAGCAACAAGGACAUACAGCAGAAAAAAAUGAAAUCUAAACAAAAUGCGUUCGAGCGUGUGUGUUCAAUUACAAUGUGUGUGAUUGCUUGGCUCGCUAGGCAGCCGAAAAGGGGGCGCAGGGGGUGUGGCAGGACCCCGGACACACACACACACCCACACACCCGCUUUAGCAUAAAAAUUUACAAUGCGAAAUAAGCAAGCGAAACGAACGAACACAAAACGCUUUUUAUUUCAAUGUUCUUAUUUUUUUUCUGGCUGCUGGUUUUCAGGACCUCCGCAGGACCUUUAGGACCACGAGCACGGCAUCCUUAUGCAAAUAACAUCCACACUGGCACAUAAAAAUAAAAUAAUAACAAUACAAU